ACGAACGCUGGCGGCGUGCCUAAUACAUGCAAGUCGAGCGGACGAAUCGAAAGCUUGCUUUUGAUUCGUUAGCGGCGGACGGGUGAGUAACACGUGGGCAACCUGCCCUGUAGACGGGGAUAACACCGAGAAAUCGGUGCUAAUACCGGAUAACACGAAAUGUCGCAUGACGUUUCGUUGAAAGACGACGCAAGCUGUCGCUACAGGAUGGGCCCGCGGCGCAUUAGCUAGUUGGUGAGGUAACGGCUCACCAAGGCGACGAUGCGUAGCCGACCUGAGAGGGUGAUCGGCCACACUGGGACUGAGACACGGCCCAGACUCCUACGGGAGGCAGCAGUAGGGAAUCUUCCGCAAUGGACGAAAGUCUGACGGAGCAACGCCGCGUGAGCGAAGAAGGCCUUCGGGUCGUAAAGCUCUGUUGUUAGGGAAGAACAAGUAACGCAGUAACUGGCGUUACCGUGACGGUACCUAACGAGAAAGCCACGGCUAACUACGUG
rnacentral:rRNA from 1 species